UACGGGGGGGGCAAGCGUUGUUCGGAAUUACUGGGCGUAAAGGGCUCGUAGGCGGCUUUGCAAGUCGGGUGUGAAAUCCCCAGGCUUAACCUGGGAACUGCAUUCGAGACUGCAUUGCUAGAGUAUGGGAGAGGGAAGUGGAAUUUCCGGUGUAGCGGUGAAAUGCGUAGAUAUCGGAAGGAACAUCAGUGGCGAAAGCGACUUCCUGGACCAAUACUGACGCUCAUGUGCGAAAGCGUGGGGAGCAAAAGGG
rnacentral:rRNA from 1 species